AACGGGUGAGUAACACGUGGGCAAUCUGCCCUUCACUCUGGGACAAGCCCUGGAAACGGGGUCUAAUACCGGAUAACACUCUGUCCCGCAUGGCAGGGGUUGAAAGCUCCGGCGGUGAAGGAUGAGCCCGCGGCCUAUCAGCUUGUUGGUGGGGUAAUGGCCUACCAAGGCGACGACGGGUAGCCGGCCUGAGAGGGCGACCGGCCAAACUGGGACUGAGACAGACCCAACACUAAUACGGGAGGCAGCAGUGGGGAAUAUUGCACAAUGGGCGAAAGCCUGAUGCAGCGACGCCGCGUGAGGGAUGACGGCCUUCGGGUUGUAAACCUCUUUCAGCAGGGAAGAAGCGAAAGUGACGGUACCUGCAGAAGAAGCGCCGGCUAACUACGUGCCAGCAGCCGCGGUAAUACGUAGGGCGCAAGCGUUGUCCGGAAUUAUUGGGCGUAAAGAGCUCGUAGGCGGCUUGUCACGUCGGAUGUGAAAGCCCGGGGCUUAACCCCGGGUCUGCAUUCGAUACGGGCUAGCUAGAGUGUGGUAGGGGAGAUCGGAAUUCCUGGUGUAGCGUUGAAAUGCGCAGAUAUCAGGAGGAACACCGGUGGCGAAGCCGGAUCUCUGGGCCAUACUUGACGCUGAGGAGCGAAAGCGUGGGGAGCGAACAGGAUUAGAUACCCUGGUAGUCCACGCCGUAAACGUUGGGAACUAGGUGUUGGCGACAUUCCACGUCGUCGGUGCCGCAGCUAACGCAUUAAGUUCCCCGCCUGGGGAGUACGGCCGCAAGUUUAAAACUCAAAGGAAUUGACGGGGGCCCGCACAAGCAGCGGAGCUUGUGGCUUAAUUCGACGCAACGGGAAGAACCUUACCAAGGCUUGACAAAUACCGGAAAGCAUCAGAGAUGGUGCCCCCCUUGGGGUCGGGAUACAGGUGGUGCAUGGCUGUCGUCAGCUCGUGUCGUGAGAUGUUGGGUUAAGUCCCGCAACGAGCGCAACCCUUGUUCUGUGUUGCCAGCAUGGCCUUCGGGGUGAUGGGGACUCACAGGAGACUGCCGGGGUCAACUCGGAGGAAGGUGGGGACGACGUCAAGUCAUCAUGCCCCUUAUGUCUUGGGCUGCACACGUGCUACAAUGGCCGGUACAAUGAGCUGCGAUGCCGCGAGGCGGAGCGAAUCUCAAAAAGCCGGUCUCAGUUCGGAUUGGGGUCUGCAACUCGACCCCAUGAAGUCGGAGUUGCUAGUAAUCGCAGAUCAGCAUUGCUGCGGUGAAUACGUUCCCGGGCCUUGUACACACCGCCCGUCACGUCACGAAAGUCGGUAACACCCGAAGCCGGUGGCCCAACCCCUUGUGGGAGGGAG
rnacentral:rRNA from 1 species